CGCGAAUCCCAGACUGGCGUCAUCGUACGCUCGGCACGCCUCUGUUGCAAUAAUAUUUUUUCACCGAGCUCGCAAUAAUCGAGAGUACUUUUCACACCACACCCUUCAUAUUCACUCCAAACGCUUAUUACUUUUAAACCAUGUGCUGUAAUCCUGGUUAUGAUGAUAAUAAUAAUGAUAUUGUGAAUACAAGACGAUUUAUAUAAAACGCAAGUCACACUUGGCUCAUACUAUCAAUUUACACUGAUCACUCGCUACUGAAACUUAUAUUUAUUAUCGCAGAUGUCGCGCUCAGAUAAGAUUAAAAAUAUCGAAAAUCCAAGUCGCUCCCAAUGAAAUAAUUAUUUAAAAAUAAAAAAGUGUCUUGUUAGUUAUUAGAUAAAUGGAGUACUAAUUAUAGUUUAAAUAAUGUAGAACGUCAGUGACCUUGAAAAAUAUAAAAAGUAACAAAAUGUAGUACGACCGGUUUUGGAAGCUCUGAUAUGUGACAAACAUGGACUUGGAUGAGCAUGACGUCAAUUCUAUACGGUCUUGUACCAACUUUUACGUCUUUGGAUGGACAUGCCGAUUAAAAUAUGGACUAAAAGUAAUGAAUAAAAUGCUAACGACGUUUGCUCUUAAUGACGAAUCCCGAUGCCUGCUGCACAAUAAAACAGUAUCGGUAAUAACAACAACAAAUGUCGACUAGUGUGGUAUUUGUGGGUGUACUUUAAAUAACGCUCAGUAUGCACACAAUCAUCCAUGUUUGCACUCGAUACAUAUAUAACAAUAUGUCGUAUUGUGUAUACAUUUAUCCAUAUAUAUAUAUGUAAGUGAUUAGAGAAGGAACGACGAGUGUAGCAUGACGAAAUGCGUGUAGUUAUCAAACAGGUGGUGCUGCUCACCUGUAGCUUGUACUUAUUUUCUAAAAACAAUUUUUAUUUAUAAUAAUAUUUAUGACUAUUUAAUACUGUCAUUACUAUAAUUAUUAUGGUCUAUGGUUAUUUAAAUGAAAAUUUAUUUAAAGACUCGGCAAUAAUUUUUAAAAAUCCCGUGGAAAAUUUUUUAUGCUGCUGCCGGUAGUUAAAAUAAAUAUGACAGCCGCAAGUGAUAAGAAACUGACGUAAGAAGAAUUAAAAUUUUUAAAUAUAAAUGAAGUAAUAAAAUUAUUUUUAAAAAUGUGAGCAUUGGUAAUUUAGUGAAGAGUUCCAUUAAUGGUCAGUUGAUUUUUUAAAAUUGUAACCAAGUUUAAAUAAUUAUUGUAAUGAAUAAAUUAGGACAAGAUUAAAAAAGGAAAAAAAUAAUAAAAUGUUAAGAGCUUGGAGAUGUUGAGGAAGAAGGUCACGGAUACUUGGAGAAGGUAAAGACCGGAGUUCCAGCACGGUUAAGAUAUUACAGUGUAUCAAGAAAUUGCCUAAAGCGUUAAGCUAUUACCGUUACAUCUAUCUCGGGUAUUGGUAUCCUAAUAAAACAAUACUGUUAUCAAAAUAAUUAUAUUGUUAUUCAUAUCAGCACGCGAGCAAUAACCAUCGCUUUGUAUCUCGGGUGUAUCUUAUCUUAUCAAUUGGCAAUUAGGAUGAUCUAAUAAUUUUUAAUAGGCUCGAGGUCCGAGAAGUAUUGAAUAGUUUGAUUGGUAUUUUUUUUUAUGGAGUUUCCAGGUAUGCCAGUGGUUAGAUUUAUAAAUAAAUGUGACGUUGCAAAGAAUGUGAAUGUAAUGAGACAAUUUAUAAAUUUUAAAAAACGCCCGUACUUUUAAAUUUUCUAAAUGUGAAUUUUUUUAUUUUUACUCCACUCAUUUAUUUGAAAAUUUUAAAAAGUGCCAAGUGUCAAAAACAUUCAAAUCCAUACGUCAGAAGUUGCAGACAAUUUUUAAUUUUAGGAUUUUUUUUUUUCAAAAAUUACAAAAAAAAAGGCGCGUUUUUUAAAAUACUUUUUUUUUAUAAUUUAUGAUUUUUUAAAAAAUUCAAAAAAUUAUUAGACGUCGGCUAGCUUAUCAUGAAAAAAUAAUGAACUUACAAAGCCAGAAGCUGCUUUGUCUCUUCUAUUAGCCAUCUCCGGAUACUGUUAUGUUAUCGUUUGGUAAUCAUUUCUUUUCCUGUAAACAAUUAUACUCUCGUUAAUGAUAAAUGACAUUUUUUAAAUUUUAAUUCAUAUUUUUUAAAAUUACAAUACUUUUAAUUUAAAAAAAUGGAGUUAACUGUAACCUAUUUCCAGAAUUAUAAGAAAAAAAAUUUAAUUGAUGACAUCAUGACUUGUAAUAAACUAAAAAAAUAAUAAUAACGCUCUCUUUGAACAAAUUAAAUAACUUACCAAUAAUAAUUAGCAAUUUCCGUUGCUGUCAACUCUAUCAUUAAAAAUUUUAAGACAAUUGCAUCUUGUAAAUUAAAUAAUUAAAUUACUGUACACAAUUAACGAUUAAAAAAUACUGUAUUAAAAAUAUAUAAAAACUGUAUUUGUAUUUAAAUAUAAUGUUAUUUUAUUAUUA